rnacentral:rRNA from 1 species
UACGGAGGGUGCAAGCGUUAUCCGGAUUUACUGGGUUUAAAGGGUGUGUAGGCGGGCUUUUAAGUCAGUGGUGAAAUCUCCGGGCUCAACCUGGAAACUGCCAUUGAUACUGGAAAGCUUGAGUUCGGGAGAGGUGAGUGGAACUGCGAGUGUAGAGGUGAAAUUCGUAGAUAUUCGCAAGAACACCAGUGGCGAAGGCGGGUCUCUGGGCCGAUACUGACGCUGAGAAGCGAAAGCGUGGGGAGCGAACAGG